UGGAAUGUAGCUCAGCAGGUAGAGCGAUUGACUGUUAAUCAAUAUGUCGUAGGUUCGACUCCUACCAUUCCAG
rnacentral:tRNA from 2 species